UCAGUGGUUAUUAGCCUAAUAUCAGUGGGGAGGUGAGGACUUCACAUCUUGUUGUCAUGCAGAAUUCCAGCGCAGGGGGGCGUGGCAUGAGUCUACACAAUUACUUUCAAAAUGACCCAAGAUGGACGCAAAGGUCUUUGAAGCUUUGAUUUUGGUCAUAAAGACGUGUGACGUUGCUCCUUGUGGUUCACGUUUACAGGACGACGUGGAAAAACAAUGAGGCCUAAGUAGGAAGCGGUCCCAAUGGUGGCCUUGGGGCUGGCGCGGCUUUUGGGAUCGAGACCAUGGACGGCGCGGAGAAGACCAGGAGCCACCUCAGAAAGCGUCUGGACCAGCUGGGCUACAGACUCCAUCUUGGAGUGGACUCGGUGCCGCUGGUUGCUAAGCUCUUCAGCGAUCUGGUUCACACCACGGUUAGCCUGCGCGAUGCUAAACUGGCAGUGGGAAAGCACGAGCGAUACCACGACCAUGUCCUACCUGAGCCACCGUACGGGACCAAGAUGGCCUCUGGCGACUAUUUUAUCAGCGGAGGCGGUAAAAACCGCAGCGUCGCGUCGAUACACAAGUGUACACAGAUGGAUGAAGACCAACGUCGGCCUCGUGACGACGACGAAGCGGAUUUAUCUGCGAGGCGGGCGGAAUUGCUGGAGGAGCUCGUCUCAAUCAAAUCGGAGCUGGACGACUCUCACGGGCGCAUAAAAACCUUAAACAGUCAAUUGGCCGAGCUGCAAGAGGCCAAGCGGACGCUGGAGCGCGCCCUGGAGGAGGCGAGGCGACGUUCGAGCGCCGAGGCGGCCGAGCUGGCCUCGCGCGACGAGGAGCUGAAGCGCAAGGACGGCGCCGUGGCCCGGACGGUGGCGCUGAAGGAGCGCGUGCUCAACAUGGCCUACAGGAAGCUGGCCGCCUCCAGGGAGGUCAUCCUCAGCCAACAGGAAGUCAUCCAGGACCUGGAGGAGAACCUUAGGAACAUACAAGCGGAAGUUAGCGAGCGCCGUCGUCUUCGGGAGCAGCUGAACGAGGCCAGAGGACGGAACCAAAAACUGGAGGGACUGCUCGACUUCUUGGAGGCGGAGAAGAGCGCGCUGCAGAACAAAGUGGACGCCAUGACGAACACCCACCGAGACCUGGUCCUGGGUCGGUCGCGGGGCAAAUCCGGCGGCGGCGGUCCUGCGCCCGGCGUGGUCGCCUUCGUCGAGAGCCUGGAGGAGGAGCGCGAUCGCUACCGGCGCGAAGUCCGAAGCUACAAGCGCCUCCUGAAAGCCGCGGCCCCCCGAGCGUCGACGCCGCCCGACGCGCCCGCGGCGCCGAGUCCCACGCAGGCCAGGAGGAACAAGUCGGUCCUGGCCGCCUCCUUCCCGGGCGAGGAAGGUGAGCCGAGUGGACGCUCGCGUUCCGAUGGGUGAAGGUUUUGUUGCCACGGUGGCGACGACACUCACCUGACGCAGAAGAAGCACUUCAGCCAGAACCGGAACCUCGCCUCCCAACAUCCCAUCCCAUCGUUAUCGGACUUCGGACUUCGGACUUGACUGAGUGUUUGCACCGUCCUUGAAAUGACACUAAACCCGACUUUGGACUGGUCAUCGUCGUACAUUUUUUUGGGGGGCCCAGACUAAGAAGAUUUUGGCCUCAGAUAUAUAUAUAUAUAUAUAUAUUUUGCCUGUUUUUGUGUCUUGCAUGAGUGAGUUUAAAAUUGUAUUUUUUUUUUUUGUCUUAUUAUUGUCUGCAAAUAUUGGGAGGUUUUCGCCCUUUUUUUGACCAAGUUUUCUCAAUCUUUUUUGGGUUUCUUGUCGACUUGUUGUCAUUUUUGUUGGCUGUUUUAUAGGUUUGUUGUUGUUUUUCACAUUUCAAAAAAUUGCAACCAUUAUUACCCAUUUUUAUCCAUGUUUUUGUCUUUGGUUGAUUUACUGCAAUGUUUUUUUGUCACUUGUCAAUUUUUAUGGAUUUGGCACUUAAUUUUUUUUCUUUUUAUCAGAUUUUUUCCCCCUAAUUGCUUAGGGUCAUUUUUAAAGUGUCCUCCUUUGCAUGUUUUCUUCCCAGAUAUUUUAUGAACUUUUUUGCGGUAUAAUUUUGUCAGAUUUAUGUGAUUGGUGUGGGGUUUUUUGUUGUUGUUAUUUAUUUUUUUGUGUGUGUGUGUGUGUGUGUUUUUGACACGUUUUUGUGUGUGUAAAAUUUUCCAAACUAGAGAAAAAGAUUUACUUGGUUACGUAGUGUGCUGGCACCGCAGACAACUUUUUGCGGUGUAAAUGGCGUCCCCUACUGGCGGAUUAUUGGCACAGACAUCUCCUUUCGUCUGCGCAAACAGCGCCAUCUGGCGGUUCAGCGAAUAAUGGCCCAACAGGCUGAGAAACGGCAACAAUUUGUUUUUCCUGACCCAAAAACCGACACCCGACUUCCUCGAAGGUCCGGCCUCGCUCUCGCGACAUCUCGACAACUUCUCCAUCUCGCACUUUCCAGUCGCUUGAAGGGGGGGGGGGGGGU